AAACACCAGAUUUGGUAUGGGGAUAAAGUACCGCCAUAACAGAGACUGAGAACCUCAAACAAAUCAAAUAGGAUGAUGCAGGAUAUGCAAAUUAUGAAAUUAUAUGAAUGUAUAUGUAUAUGUAUAUAUGAUGAUUAUGCUGACAAAAUGAUCAAAAAGGAUACAAGAGGUGUCACAAAGAAAUUAAACCACCGGUACAAUCCUCGAUCAAUCCACAAAAUAUAUGGAGACAAAAGCCGGAGAACAGAGAGAUCAACA
rnacentral:lncRNA from 1 species